CGGUCAUGGCGGGCGAUGGCGGCGUCUAUAACGUCGUUCCCUUCUUGAUGCAUCGUUGUUGUAGGUCAUGGCGCCCCACUCGUGAUGCUCCGGGGGAAACCCUAGAUCCGGAUUUACCGGAUCGGACGAUGAUGGCACCUUCGAUGUCGUUGUCCCUCCUGAGGGCAUCGUUUUGGAGCACGUGCUGGCUGGAGGGGACAAGAGGAGGAGUGGUGUUACAUCUAUCGCAAGGCCGACGGCGGCUCCCAGUGGCAUGGCACCACGUAGGUUCGGCAAUGGGCACGUAUUGGAGAUGGACUCGAGUAGGAGGAGGAAGUUGUUUGGCGUCAUGGUGGUGUUGAUGGCAGAUAGGUCUGGCAAGGUCGGUGCAUCAGUUCUGCUUUGAGGAUGGACCGAGGGAAGAUGGAGGUGACGGCCCUUGCAGCGUGCGGUGCUCACUAGGAGUGUGCCAGACCGGUGUGGGACUCAAUCCAGCUAGUGGCUUGGAUGGGACACCUGACUUUAGAUGUUAGGCUUUGGUGUGAUGUCUGUUUGGUAUUAGACUUGGACAUUCAGCACGCCUUCAUCAAGGAGAUAAGAGUAGCAACAGGGUUGUUAAGAUGGUGACUUCAGACUUAUUGAUGUAUCACCUUGUAUGAUCUUUAUGAAUAAUUAUAAUAUGACUAUUCCCGUCAAAAAAAUGACUACAUGCAUCCUCUAGAUGCAGAGGCCAGGGAUACAUCCUCCUUUUCUAAAAAUGGAAUACAUUGACGUUCGUAUUAGGUGGGCAGAAAUAAAAUUGUGGACUGCUUUUCUUUUGCGGAAAGAUUCCCAGUAUGAACAUAGGUUUUCAGUACUAGUAGGUGCCUUAAUAAAAAAAUAUGUGUUCUACGUUUUUCUCGUCUUAUGUUUCCGGGCUUAUUCACUGCCAACAUUCAAAUUUUGCAGGAUUGCGCCGGAUAUUUCAUCAAUGGCUAUAAAGUUGGAACCUGGAGGGGGAAAAAGGUUUGUUGGUGCAAUUUUUUCUUCUAGUGGUAUGACGUUUCCGCUAUCUAUGAGGUGUCUGUGAUGACUUUGUCAAUCUAAAGAUUUAUCGGGUCAGCCUCUCGGUGGUGAUCAUAAAGAUAUGGUGUGUAUGUGCUCAUAUGCGGUAGUAUGCACAUGUGUAUGUUGAUGUUUUUCUAAAAAAAUUUAAAUAACUACAAAAAAUGAUUUUUUUUUUGGAGGGAGGCCUACCAUAAAACACAAAACACAUGCGCAAACUAUCUUUGUCCAUUUUGAAACUCAUGGGAGCCCUGCUGAAAAACAUGGAUAUAUUCUUUAUAUAUCCUCAAAAGCCACAGAAGUCACCUCAACAUGGGUAAUCGUCUAAUCCUGUGAAAAUGGGAUCCAGCUUGUCUGCUUCCUCCUCAUGCUUCUAUCCGUGCUCCCACUUUAUCCUACGGUUGUCUUUUUUCCUCAUUUUUUCUAAUCUAAUCAUCUCCCCCUCUGAUUUUAAGGGGGUGGGGCCGGGCCUUAUUUUGUUCCAAUCAAAUCAAGCCACAUACGCGGGAACACGGAUGGGCACACACCGGAAGAAGUCUCGUCCAUGAAAAUGGGUCGAUUUUCUAUCUUUCCAAAUGUUCCACGUAACUUACAUAAAAUGCACACUCCGUUUGCCUUUGAUGGUUUUUCAGCCGAAAGAGUAGUGCAUCCCACCAUAAAAAACCGAGUAAUAGACUACGAGGUCCUAUGCCCGGGAACGGACAUUCUCGGACCAGGUAUGCACCUUCUUGGAGACAUGACAAUGCUUGCACAAAUGAGUAACAGUCCCAAGACAUGCAAGCAACAGUGACCGAAAAAUGGUAUAGAAGAAUGCUUGAAGUCUCUAAUUUUCAGUUUUAGAAAUUUGAAACGUUUAUUUUACACAAUUAGGGCCUUUUUAUUGCAUGAUUUCCAAAAAUACAUGAAUAGAAAAACCACAAGAUUGCAAUGACAUGUCCUUUUGAAUCCUAUAGAAACUUGGUUUGCUUGACUGCAUAAUUGGAAAAAACAGAGGAUUCUUUUCCAAAGAUUUGGGUGGAUGCUAUCAAGUGAGUCCUUAAGAAAAGUCCUACGAAUCAAACGAUCAAUGUAGGAGAAACUCCUCAGGAUUGUAAUUCUUCAGAAUUAUUACGAUGAAAAUCUGUUGAAUCAAAGAGGGCCAAAAAUAGGAAGCAAGGAUAAACUACAUCUUUUGCUUUUUUAUGAGGUUGAAGAAAGAGAGAGCCAUGCAGUAGCACAUGAGCUAGCUAGGAUAGUGAGAAGAGUUUUUUUUUGUUAUGAGUGAUGAUCUCCCGUUUGUAUGAGAGACGUCGUCACAACUGAUCACAUUCUAAUUGAAUUAAGCGAGCUCUUGUUUACCGGGAAUAAAAAAAGACACAUGGUAGGGAGAUAUAUACUAGCCCAAACAGAUCAUAGUGGUUGCCGAGGGCAGGAGGAAGCGCGAGAGAAAUGUCAAGGUUUGACGCCACGCAGUCAUGAACUAUUAUAAUAAAAUGUCCACACACCUUUCUUGCUACAACUGGCUGGUGUUGUGCUAUACCUUUAUAUUCAUACUCCCUCCGUCUCAUAAUAUAAGAGCGCUUUUUACACUACACUAAUGUCAAAAAAGAAGAAGAAAAGAGGGAGUAGAUUAUUAACGGGAGCGUACAAAGACAAUUGCAGAGGAGACAAAGAGGAAGAAGAAAAAGAAAGGAAAUCCGCAGCGACUCGGUGAAGAUCUUGAAACAAAACAGAAUCUAUCGAUAGGUGGAAGUAGAGGCUCUGAACCCUGGCUGUCUAGCCCACCACCUCAUGGUGCUAACCAAUAACACUCAGGGCCUUUCUCAAAUUUGCACAUCUUCCAUGCUUGAAUUUCACAUUUUACUUGUAUUCACAAAAUUUAAACAGCUAAAAAUUCACAAAGUCGCCGUGUUGUUUUCUCUGAACUGAACUCCACGAUGCAUCACAAAAGGGGUACCUAUCCGAGUGGGGGAAAUGAAAAACCGAAGCCAUCGGUGUCACGUGCUUUCAAGCUCCAGCGGUGAGCCUGGCUGCGAUCGGCCGACGCAUCUCUACACUGCAGUGCUUCCGAAUGACAAUGUGCUCUUCCGUUAUCUCCUUCAGCAUCCUGCAAAUAUCUGUCAAAGUAGGAGUCAUUACUUCAAACCAGAGCAAGGUUGUCACUAUGUACUGGGUAGUUCAUGAGGUCCUCUACCCUUGGCACUUUGUCACAACAGUCCACCAUUUCCUCUGCUACCACGUCUCCCCGCAUUCGUAUUUUGUCAUAAACUGAACAAAAUGAAACAAGGGGUAACAAUUUCAGUUUUGCUGGUUCUACAUUAAAGGCUUCGAAAAAGCUUACGACAAAUGCAAGGACCCGGCAAAACACCUAGCAUUUGCUAUCACUUAUGGACCAUAAGCACUUCUCUGCCUAGCCCUCGACCCGAGGCGUUCAAAACAUGGACAAGGCGUACUGAUCCCAACAAGGACUUGGAAGAACGAACUAUGGCUUUUUAGUUUUUACAUAAACACAAGACACAUGAGGCCGAAGAACAACGACCUGCAUAGUCUGGAGUGGCUGCGCAACUAUGCUUCACAACAACUUGAGCUGAUUCCUGGCAACACGGUGUAGCAGUCAUUUAGCAAUUCUUGUGUAUGUUGCACGGUGUUGUGGCUAUAAAUGAGAUAAAAAAAAAUCAGGUUCAACGAAA